rnacentral:rRNA from 1 species
CCUACGGGGCCAGCAGGCGCGAAACCUUUACACUGCACGACAGUGCGAUAGGGGGAUCCCAAGUGCACAGGCAUAGCGCCUGUGCUUUUCGGUACCCUAAGGCGGUACCAGAAUAAGGGCUGGGCAAGACCGGUGCCAGCCGCCGCGGUAAA